rnacentral:sRNA from 1 species
CUUGGGAUCCACCGCUGCCCUCAGCUCCGAGUCCAGGGCGAGGCUUGGGCACUGUUUAAAGGAAAGUUCCGAGAAGGCAUCGACAAGCCGGACCCUCCCACCUGGAAGACGCGCCUGCGGUGCGCUUUGAACAAGAGCAAUGACUUUGAGGAACUGGUUGAGCGGAGCCAGCUGGACAUCUCAGACCCAUACAAAGUGUACAGGAUUGUUCCUGAGGGAGCCAAAAAAGGAGCCAAGCAGCUCACCCUGGAGGACCCGCAGAUGUCCAUGAGCCACCCCUACACCAUGACAACGCCUUACCCUUCGCUCCCAGCCCAGCAGGUUCACAACUACAUGAUGCCACCCCUCGACCGAAGCUGGAGGGACUACGUCCCGGAUCAGCCACACCCGGAAAUCCCGUACCAAUGUCCCGUGACGUUUGGACCCCGCGGCCACCACUGGCAAGGCCCAGCUUGUGAAAAUGGUAAGGAGGAUACCAGGGCAGGAAACAGAAGAGCUAAUUGCUAAUGUGGCCAUGGGCCAUGGUGAAUCCUGGUCUGUCCUGGGCAGCACCAAAGCUCUUUCCCCUUCUUAGAGGCUGCGUGUGCAGCUCGGGGAGAGGAGGGUUUUCUCACUCCUGUGGGAUGGUGGCAUCCCACAGCCAAGUUUACUCUCAGGAUCCAUGCUAGGCACUGCCCUUCGUGGGAUCUUAUUUAAACACCACAGAGAUCACUCCAGGCAGUGGAAAACAGCCCCCCCACUUUUUAUAUAGAGAGGAG